rnacentral:rRNA from 1 species
GGGAUUGCCCCAGUAACGGCGAGUGAAGCGGCAACAGCUCAAAUUUGAAAUCUGGCCCUCGGGUCCGAGUUGUAAUUUGUAGAGGAUGCUUUUGGCGAGGUGCCUUCCGAGUUCCCUGGAACGGGACGCCAUAGAGGGUGAGAGCCCCGUCUGGUCGGACACCGAGCCUCUGUAAAGCUCCUUCGACGAGUCGAGUAGUUUGGGAAUGCUGCUCAAAAUGGGAGGUAUAUGUCUUCUAAAGCUAAAUAUUGGCCAGAGACCGAUAGCGCACAAGUAGAGUGAUCGAAAGAUGAAAAGCACUUUGAAAAGAGGGUUAAAAAGUACGUGAAAUUGUUGAAAGGGAAGCGCCUAUGACCAGACUUGAGCCCGGUGAAUCAUCCAGCGUUCUCGCUGGUGCACUUUGCCGGGCCCAGGCCAGCAUCAGUUUGGCGCGGGGGAUAAAGGUGACGGGAAUGUGGCUCCCUCGGGAGUGUUAUAGCCCGCUACGUAAUACCCUGCGCCGGACUGAGGUACGCGCAUUGCAAGGAUGCUGGCGUAAUGGUCAUCAGCGACCCGUCUUGAAACACGGACCAAGGAGUCGUCUUCGUAUGCGAGUGUUCGGGUGUCAAACCCCUACGCGUAAUGAAAGUGAACGCAGGUGAGAGCUUCGGCGCAUCAUCGACCGAUCCUGAUGUUCUCGGAUGGAUUUGAGUAAGAGCAUACGGGGCCGGACCCGAAAGAAGGUGAACUAUGCCUGUAUAGGGUGAAGCCAGAGGAAACUCUGGUGGAGGCUCGCAGCGGUUCUGACGUGCGAAUCGAUCGUCAAAUAUGGGCAUGGGGGCGAAAGACUAAU